UCUAGGGUUUAUACGCACGAGCGCGGGAUGGUGUCCUACACGACGCUCGCUCUGGCGCUGGGGGUGUUCAUCGCUGUGAGCGGCCCCAAGGACAUCCACAGGUACGCCAGAAUGGGGGGAAGGCUUGUGGGACGAACUGUGGGGUUUGUGAAGACUACCAAGGGCGAAUUCGAUGGCGUGAUGGGAAAAUCUCAGAUGAGCGAGGUUCACAAAGAGUUGAAAGAGGCAAUGGCUCAGCUUAAUGCUAUACGGUAUGAGAUUCGAAGUGGUCUUUCCUUCACUGGCUCGCCUCCGGUACGAGAAGUGUAUCCUGAGGAGUCUGCUACUGCUAGUCAUUCUACUGCGACCUCCACCGUGACCUCUCAAACCGUGACCACCACAACAACAGCCACAGCAUCUUCCCAAGAUGCUUCCUCACAUCAAGGCUUCGAUGUCGCUGCUCAAACUUUGGCCUCGGCGACAGCAUCACAAGUCACAGCCACGACUUCUGCAAGCUCAGAUCACCAUGGUCUACCCUCGAGCCAAAUGGAACAGCUUCGUAAGCAAUUCUACAAUCAGGAGAUGCAGCAGAACAGUAAGCCAGGAGUCGAUUUCGUCAAGAUGGAAGUAAACCAUUCACUCGCUGCCAGACGACCGCAAAGUGCUCCAGACAAGGAAGUCGAUGUUAUACCAGUCUCGGCAGCGAUAGCAAAGCUGAUCCCAGAAAGAACAGGUCCAACUACUGGAUCGGACAUAAUGCUGGAAGCCAUCGAAGAAAUGAAGGUGGCUUCUCAUGCUCUUGUUGUCAUGAAGCAGUACGCCGUGAAUCUUAGUCAGCAGCAACCAGAGCAAGAUCAGCAUCAGCAGGACCAGCAGCAACAGUAGCAGUCAAAAGUUCGUUUUGUUCUCUCCCCCAUUUUCCUCAAAAGCAGAGGAUCUUUCGGAGCCCUAAAAAGCAUGGAGAAUGCCGUGAAGGACUAUGCGGCAGGACUGGCGGCUGGAUUGGCGACUGUGACCGUCGGGCAUCCAUUCGACACUGUCAAGGUGAACUUACAAGCCCGAAGCCCAGUAGCGCAUGCUAGCGCCAUUCGCUGUGCAGGAUGGAUUCUCAAUCACGAAGGGGUAAGAGGUUUGUACAAAGGUGCUACAUCUUCUUUUGCCGGCAUGGCUGUUGAAGGCUCGCUGCUGUUCGGCAUUUAUUCACAGACAAAAGCAAGAUUGCAGGAAGGGAGGAGAGGCAGCAGCAAGAACACCCAAUCUUUCUACUGUGCUGCCCUCCGCAGCAUUCGGUGGAGGAAUGAUCAGUUUGAUACUCUGUCCUACGGAACUAGUUAAGUGUAGGCUCCAGGUUCAAGAGAAGGGUUCUUCGAGCAAAGAGCUGCGAAGAUACUCCGGUCCAUUGGAUUGUGCAAAAAAAACUAUUCACGCUGGAGGGGUUCCAGGAUUGUUUCGAGGACUGUCAGCUACAUUUUUCAGGGAAUGUGUCGGAAAUAUGUGCUUUUUUGCAACAUAUGAGACGAGUCGGUCGUU